rnacentral:rRNA from 1 species
UACGGGGGGUGCGAGCGUUGUCCGGAAUCACUGGGCGUAAAGGGCGCGUAGGUGGUUUGAUAAGGGUGUGGUGAAAGUCCGGGGCUCAACCCCGGAUCUGCCGUGCCGACUGUCAAACUCGAGGACUGUAGAGGCAGACGGAAUUCCUGGUGUAGCGGUGAAAUGCGCAGAUAUCAGGAAGAACACCCGUGGCGAAGGCGGUUCUCUGGGACGGUACUGACGCUGAGACGCGAAAGCGUGGGGAGCGAACAGG